rnacentral:miRNA from 1 species
AGCUCCGAACUCGCCGUGCCCG